rnacentral:rRNA from 1 species
CGGGCAGUGAGAGCUGAAGCCCGGAGUUGGGGACUGAGACAAGGCCCCAGGCCCUACGGGGCGCAGCAGGCGCGAAACCUCUGCAAUGCGGGAAACCGUGACAGGGGGAUCCCAAGUGCUCAUGCAUUGCAUGGGCUGUUCUUUGGUCUAAGUAACCAGAGGAGUAAGAGCUGGGCAAGACCGGUGCCAGCCGCCGCGGUAAUACCGGCAGCUCAAGUGGUAGCCGCGAUUAUUGGGCCUAAAGCGUUCGUAGCCGGAUAAGUAAGUCUUUGGUUAAAUCCUGCGACUUAACCGUGGGAAAUCUAGAGAUACUGCUUGUCUUGAGACCGGGAGAGGUUGGAGGUACUCCCAGGGUAGGGGUGAAAUCCUGUAAUCCUGGGGGGACCACCUGUGGCGAAGGCGUCCAACUGGAACGGGUCUGACGGUGAGGGACGAAACCUAGGGGAGCGAGCCGGAUUAGAUACCCGGGUAGUCCUAGGCGUAAAUGAUGCGAGUUAAGUGUGGGGGCAUCCACGAGAUGGCCCUGUUCUUUAGGGUAGCCGUUAAACUCGCCGCCUGGGGAGUACGGUCGCAAGGCUGAAACUUAAAGGAAUUGGCGGGGGAGCACCACAAGAGGUGGAGGCUGCGGUUCA